rnacentral:rRNA from 1 species
UACAGAGGUCUCAAGCGUUGUCCGGAUUUAUUGGGCGUAAAGAGCGUGUAGGCGGCCAGAUAGGUCCGUUGUGAAAACUCGAGGCUCAACCUCGAGACGCCGAUGGAAACCAUUUGGCUAGAGUCCGGAAGAGGAGAGUGGAAUUCCUGGUGUAGCGGUGAAAUGCGCAGAUAUCAGGAGGAACACCAAUGGCGAAGGCAGCACUCUGGGACGUGACUGACGCUGAGACGCGAAAGCGUGGGGGAGCAAAACAGG